rnacentral:tRNA from 1 species
ACUUAAAUAGUUUAAAUAAAAUGUUGAUUUGUGGUGUCAAUGAUAUGAUGUAGUCAUUUUAGGUU